GACGAACGCUGGCGGCGUGCUUAACACAUGCAAGUCGAACGGAAAGGCCCUGCUUUUGUGGGGUGCUCGAGUGGCGAACGGGUGAGUAACACGUGAGUAACCUGCCCUUGACUUUGGGAUAACUUCAGGAAACUGGGGCUCAUACCGGAUAGGAGCUCCUGCUGCAUGGUGGGGGUUGGAAAGUUUCGGCGGUUGGGGAUGGACUCGCGGCUUAUCAGCUUGUUGGUGGGGUAGUGGCUUACCAAGGCUUUGACGGGUAGCCGGCCUGAGAGGGUGACCGGCCACAUUGGGACUGAGAUACGGCCCAGACUCCUACGGGAGGCAGCAGUGGGGAAUAUUGCACAAUGGGCGGAAGCCUGAUGCAGCAACGCCGCGUGCGGGAUGACGGCCUUCGGGUUGUAAACCGCUGUCGCCUGUGACGAAGCGUGAGUGACGGUAAUGGGUAAAGAAGCACCGGCUAACUACGUG
rnacentral:rRNA from 1 species